rnacentral:rRNA from 1 species
GACGAACGCUGGCGGCGUGCUUAACACAUGCAAGUCGAACGGGGUCCAACCAGUCGCAAGACCGGGGAAGACCAAGUGGCGAACGGGUGCGUAACACGUGAGGAACCUGUCCCGGUCUCUGGAAUAACGAGUGGAAACAUUCGCUAAUACCGGAUGCCGUCGGGUCACCGCAUGGUGAACUGACGAAAGGGCUACCGGAUCGGGAGGGGCUCGCGGCCUAUCAGCUUGUUGGUGAGGUAACGGCUCACCAAGGCGUCGACGGGUAGCUGGUCUGAGAGGAUGAUCAGCCACACUGGGACUGAGACACGGCCCAGACUCCUACGGGUGGCUG